rnacentral:lncRNA from 1 species
AAAUGGUGGCUGAUUCGAGUGAUGCAGGGAUGAAGACAAGGAGAAGGAGAUUAGAAGAAGGUGGUAGUGGUAAUGUUGGUGUUGGUGAUGUGGUGAUGAAGGUGGUUGAGGAGUUGAACAGAGAAAAUUCUGCAGGGGAGAAAUUGAAGGGUGAAAAAAAAGUGAGAAGUAAUGGGAAAAGUGGAUCUAGUCCUUUGAAUGGUGUUAGGAAUUCACCAAGGAGAAGGGGAUUAGAUGAAGGUGGUAAUGGUAAUAGUAGUGUUGGUGCUGGUG